rnacentral:rRNA from 1 species
CUCAUCCUACGGGGCGCAGCAGUUAGGAAUAUUCGUCAAUGGGGGAAACCCUGAACGAGCAAUGCCGCGUGAACGAUGACGGUCCUCUGGAUUGUAAAGUUCUGUUGUUUGGGAAGAACGGCUCUAAUAGGAAAUGAUUAGAGAUUGACUGUACCAUUCAAGAAAGCCACGGCUAACUACGUGCCAGCAGCCGCGGUAAUACGUAGGUGGCAAGCGUUAUCCGGAUUUAUUGGGCGUAAAGCGAGCGCAGGCGGUUGCUUAGGUCUGAUGUGAAAGCCUUCGGCUUAACCGAAGAAGUGCAUCGG